UAAGCGACUAAGCGUACACGGUGGAUGCCUAGGCAGUCAGAGGCGAUGAAGGGCGUGCUAAUCUGCGAUAAGCGUCGGUAAGCUGAUAUGAAGCGUUACAACCGACGAUACCCGAAUGGGGAAACCCAGUGCAAUUCGUUGCACUAUUGCAUGGUGAAUACAUAGCCAUGCAAGGCGAACCGGGGGAACUGAAACAUCUAAGUACCCCGAGGAAAAGAAAUCAACCGAGAUUCCCCUAGUAGCGGCGAGCGAACGGGGAAGAGCCCAGAGUCUGAAUCAGUUUGUGUGUUAGUGGAAGCGUCUGGAAAGUCGCAGGGUACAGGGUGAUACUCCCGUACACAAAAACACACUUGCUGUGAACUCGAUGAGUAGGGCGGGACACGUGACAUCCUGUCUGAAUAUGGGGGGACCAUCCUCCAAGGCUAAAUACUCCUGACUGACCGAUAGUGAACCAGUACCGUGAGGGAAAGGCGAAAAGAACCCCGGCGAGGGGAGUGAAAUAGAACCUGAAACCGUGUACGUACAAGCAGUGGGAGCCUUGAUUUAUCAGGGUGACUGCGUACCUUUUGUAUAAUGGGUCAGCGACUUAUAUUUUGUAGCAAGGUUAACCGAAUAGGGGAGCCGUAGGGAAACCGAGUCUUAACUGGGCGUCUAGUUGCAAGGUAUAGACCCGAAACCCGGUGAUCUAGCCAUGGGCAGGUUGAAGGUUGGGUAACACUAACUGGAGGACCGAACCGACUAAUGUUGAAAAAUUAGCGGAUGACUUGUGGCUGGGGGUGAAAGGCCAAUCAAACCGGGAGAUAGCUGGUUCUCCCCGAAAGCUAUUUAGGUAGCGCCUCGUGAACUCAUCUUCGGGGGUAGAGCACUGUUUCGGCUAGGGGGUCAUCCCGACUUACCAAACCGAUGCAAACUCCGAAUACCGAAGAAUGUUAUCACGGGAGACACACGGCGGGUGCUAACGUCCGUCGUGAAGAGGGAAACAACCCAGACCGCCAGCUAAGGUCCCAAAGUCAUGGUUAAGUGGGAAACGAUGUGGGAAGGCAUAGACAGCCAGGAUGUUGGCUUAGAAGCAGCCAUCAUUUAAAGAAAGCGUAAUAGCUCACUGGUCGAGUCGGCCUGCGCGGAAGAUGUAACGGGGCUAAACCAUGCACCGAAGCUGCGGCAGCGACACUUAGGUGUUGUUGGGUAGGGGAGCGUUCUGUAAGCCGUUGAAGGUGACCUGUGAGGGUUGCUGGAGGUAUCAGAAGUGCGAAUGCUGACAUAAGUAACGAUAAUGCGGGUGAAAAACCCGCACGCCGGAAGACCAAGGGUUCCUGUCCAACGUUAAUCGGGGCAGGGUGAGUCGACCCCUAAGGCGAGGCUGAAAAGCGUAGUCGAUGGGAAACAGGUUAAUAUUCCUGUACUUGGUGUUACUGCGAAGGGGGGACGGAGAAGGCUAGGCUAGCCGGGCGACGGUUGUCCCGGUUUAAGCAUGUAGGCGGAGCGACUUGGUAAAUCCGGUUGCUUAUCAACGCUGAGGUGUGAUGACGAGCCACUACGGUGGUGAAGUAGUUGAUGCCAAGCUUCCAGGAAAAGCCUCUAAGCAUCAGGUAACAUUAAAUCGUACCCCAAACCGACACAGGUGGUCAGGUAGAGAAUACUCAGGCGCUUGAGAGAACUCGGGUGAAGGAACUAGGCAAAAUGGUGCCGUAACUUCGGGAGAAGGCACGCUGGCAUUAGGUAAAGGGACUUGCUCCCGGCGCCGAAGCCAGUCGCAGAUACCAGCUGGCUGCAACUGUUUAAUAAAAACACAGCACUGUGCAAACACGAAAGUGGACGUAUACGGUGUGACGCCUGCCCGGUGCUGGAAGGUUAAUUGAUGGGGUCAGCCGCAAGGCGAAGCUCUUGAUCGAAGCCCCAGUAAACGGCGGCCGUAACUAUAACGGUCCUAAGGUAGCGAAAUUCCUUGUCGGGUAAGUUCCGACCUGCACGAAUGGCGUAAUGAUGGCCAGGCUGUCUCCACCCGAGACUCAGUGAAAUUGAACUCGCUGUGAAGAUGCAGUGUACCCGCGGCAAGACGGAAAGACCCCGUGAACCUUUACUAUAGCUUGACACUGAACAUUGAGCCUUGAUGUGUAGGAUAGGUGGGAGGCAUCGAAGCGUGGACGCCAGUCUGCGUGGAGCCAACCUUGAAAUACCACCCUUUAAUGUUUGAUGUUCUAACUCGGCCCCGUAAUCCGGGGUGAGGACAGUGUCUGGUGGGUAGUUUGACUGGGGCGGUCUCCUCCCAAAGAGUAACGGAGGAGCACGAAGGUUAGCUAAUCACGGUCGGACAUCGUGAGGUUAGUGCAAAGGCAUAAGCUAGCUUGACUGCGAGAGUGACGGCUCGAGCAGGUACGAAAGUAGGUCUUAGUGAUCCGGUGGUUCUGAAUGGAAGGGCCAUCGCUCAACGGAUAAAAGGUACUCCGGGGAUAACAGGCUGAUACCGCCCAAGAGUUCAUAUCGACGGCGGUGUUUGGCACCUCGAUGUCGGCUCAUCACAUCCUGGGGCUGAAGUAGGUCCCAAGGGUAUGGCUGUUCGCCAUUUAAAGUGGUACGCGAGCUGGGUUUAGAACGUCGUGAGACAGUUCGGUCCCUAUCUGCCGUGGGCGUUGGAAGAUUGAGAGGGGCUGCUCCUAGUACGAGAGGACCGGAGUGGACGAAUCACUGGUGUUCGGGUUGUCAUGCCAAUGGCAUUGCCCGGUAGCUAAAUUCGGAAGAGAUAACCGCUGAAAGCAUCUAAGCGGGAAACUUGCCUCGAGAUGAGUCUUCCCUGGGGCUUUAAGCCCCCUGAAGGAACGUUAAAGACUAUGACGUUGAUAGGCUGGGUGUGUAAGUGCAGCGAUGCAUUGAGCUAACCAGUACUAAUGAUCCGUGAGGCUUAACCU
rnacentral:rRNA from 1 species